UGGUCUGCAUUGGCCCAGUGGCCAGCUCCAGUCCCUCUGGUGGGCAGGAGCCCUGCUGGGGGCUGAAUGCCUGCUUCCCAUUCCCAGCUUCAGCUCUGUUAACCAGAGGCCUUGGCACAACCCAGCAUCUCCCUAAACCUCCCUGUCCUCAUCUGCACUUCCCACAGUGAGAGGAUCAAGUACAUUAAUUCAUGGGAAGCACUUAGCUGUUUCUGGCACAAGUUAGUGCUCAAUGUUACUGUGUUCACAGAGAAAUGGUAUUAGGACUCACUUAACAUUUUUUUUUAACAGCAGCUCACAUCUUACUUAAAUUAAUUUUUUAAAAGGAAGCUUCAUAUUACUAUUGUAAAUGGAAAGCCAAUACUACUUGCCAUUCACAGUAGGUAUUCGUACAAAUGAAUCCAGGACAAAACGAAUGAUAUUCCAUUUUAGCUAGUCACUGCCAUUGUUCAAGCCCUUAGCCUGAUGCCUGCUUUCUUUGUUAAAAAAGUCAGUUUAUGAAGAUUGGGAGUGGUGCAGAAGCCUCACUGGCCCCUCACUGAGACAUUCUCCUCGAUGGAUUCAGAGGACUGAAGAGAAACAAAGAGGAAUGACUUCCUCACCAUCCGAUUCGGUGCUGUGUUUGUAAAUUGCUUAUAAUCAUCUUGUGCACCACCCCAAAUCAUUUCACUCCCUGGCAGGGACCUGAGGGACCCCCACCGCCUUGGUGUGCAGACCGGAAAGGUUGUGAAAGUUGUCUCAUGGCGCCACCUGGUGGAAUUUUCGGACAGGAGCAGGAACUCCCUCCUGCAAAUAUACUACAAAUGGAUUCAUCUGCUCUCCUGCUCCCGCUUUGAGCUCAGCUAAUCCUGAGAAAUCACUUUCUUCUGAUGAAGUGGCUAAAAUCUGGAUGCUGUCAGCAAGGGAACAUACAAGCCAACCACAAGUGCCUCCAACAGCGUGUUCCUUUUCCUGUGAUAGUUGUUCUCAACCUAGCAAUACCACCAGUUCAUCUGGGCAGCUUUAAAACAUGCAGCCUGGGUUCCAGUUCCAGAGCCAUGAGCCAGCCUUCCUCCAGGUGGGAGCUGCCCUGUUCCCAGGGAGCAGGGUUUGUGGCUCCUUCCCUCUCACAUGCCAGACUGAGUUUCUGAGGGCAGGGAUCAUGCUCAGCUCUUUUUUGUAUUCCCAGUCCCAGACAGAGGCCCUGGCCCUUUGUCAAAACUUGGGGACUGCUCUGCAAACUGCAUGAGAAGGCAUGAGGCACUAGCCCAACUAAAGGGAGGAGGGGACCCCAAAAACAGAGCCCAUUCUUCCUGCCUUGACUGGGUUGGAUCCUGGUGACUUCUCUGUCACCUGUGUACUCAGGGACAUUAUUCUCAAGUUGUAAGUGCAGGCAGCUCUACCCUGCAGCACGUGUGGGAUGAAGAAGGAAGGAAGAAAGAAAGGAGGGAGGCAGGGAGGGAGGGAGGAAUGAAAGAACCUAGGUCAAUAGUAUAAAUGUAGCCCUGAGCCGGGGAUCCCAAGGCUCCCCGUGACAUCUGCCUAUAUCCCAGCAUCUCUUUAAAUGAAGAAGCAGCCUUCCUUGAAGACCCACCCGGUGGGAACUGCUGCCCACUCCGGAAGCCUGGGGAGGGCUUCUCUCAAGACUGUGGCAUUCGCGCUUCUCUCUCCCUCCUCUGCUGCACUUGCUUUUCCUUGGAGUCAAGUGACAGGUCAGGCCCAGCCCAGGGUGCAGAGGGUGCAGUGACCCUGGGACACACGGAUGUUGUGGGAGUGACUCAUUGUGGCCUCACAGCUCAGGAAGGGGGUGCAUGUGCUGUCUCCUUGCCUCUGCCUUAUUCCAGGGGAGUUAGACUCUUGCC